CAAGGCUGAAACUUAAAGGAAUUGACGGAAGGGCACCACCAGGAGUGGAGCCUGCGGCUUAAUUUGACUCAACACGGGGAAACUCACCAGGUCCAGACACAAUAAGGAUUGACAGAUUGAGAGCUCUUUCUUGAUUUUGUGGGUGGUGGUGCAUGGCCGUUCUUAGUUGGUGGAGUGAUUUGUCUGCUUAAUUGCGAUAACGAACGAGACCUUAACCUACUAAAUAGUGGUGCUAGCAUUUGCUGGUUAUCC
rnacentral:rRNA from 1 species